CAAAAUCAACGGACAUAUUUCGUUGUGCAGCUCCCUCGUGGCCAAGGCAUCUGGAGUGGCUCGCUUUAUGACUUUCCCGCUAGAAUCAGAGCGCUCCAUCAACGGCCUCUUUUCUCUCGAGUGUUCGUUGCCGAAAUCAAACGCUAGAUCAUUACCAGGCAAUCGGAAGAAGAGAGAGAGAGAAGAAUCGAAAGAAGUUUCUUGACUCGUCUCGGUGAUGAAAAAUAGAGGGCAUUUUCUUCGACAAGUUCAUGAUCCAAGCGGGGGCGGAUUUUUCAGAAGUGGCGACUGAUCUGGCGAUGAUGAAUGCGACGGUGAAGUUCAUAUUUCGAAAUACGGCCUCGUUUUUCGGCGUUCAUGUCACUUCCACUCCGCUUCGGCUUUCGUAUUCUCAGCUCACACUUGCCUCUGGAACUAAGAGAGCAGGACGAUGAACUCUUAUGUCAGUGAGAUCUGUUCCAGUAACAGAGAGGGGAAGAACAAUGCAGUUGCUCUUGAUGAAGUGAUUGCUUGGACAACAGAAAAGCAGUUGGUCUUGUCAUUGAGGCCGGUUGGAUUUUCGCAUCUGCUAGGAAUACUGGUAGAAGAAAGAGUUUGAUCAGCUGAAGAGGAAAAUGGCAAAGUCUAAGAGAGAAUUUGGUCUGCUGGAGAGGAAAAGAUGGAGGUGGAGAACAUCGAUGGAGAUAAUAAAGAUGAGGGCAUUCUACAAGGUAUCCAACUCCGGUUGCUACUUUCAACACUCCUUCACGUAAGAAAUUUUCUAUUUGACAUCAUGAACUACCAUAUGUGCAACCUAGUUCUCACAGGAAUUACUUUUUUGGCAAUGUUGUGGCUCUAAUAAGGUUAGUUUCCUAUUUUUACUUUUUAUUAUAUCUUUUUUUUUUCUUUUCUUUUCUGAUGUUCCUGGUGCUCUACUGGUAUCAUGUUUUUUGUUUCAAGAGUAAAUGGUUAAACUACAACAAAGAAUUGUAAUGAAUGUUAAAGUUGAAAGAGGUUCAUGAGUAAAGAAUUAAAUGACAUCUUUUGUUUUAUGAGUGUUUUAGGUAGUUCGGAAUAGUUUUUUUAAAAGAAAAAUGAAGCUUUCAUUGAGAUCAAAUGAACGAUUACAAGAGGAACACACAAAAAAAAAAAAAAAAAAACCAUCCAAAAAGGAGACCAGUUGACCUAAUUUUAGUUUGUUAAUGGAUAAUCUUUUGGAUACUUUUAGUUUGUUAAUGGAUAAUCUUUUGGAUACUUUUAGUUUGUGAUGGUUAUGUAAGCAAGGAAGGAAGGAAGAUAAGUUUGGAUAAGAGAAUUAUGGGUAAAAGUAUGAGAAUGGUGGAUAACGGCCUAUUCAAAAGGUUAAGAACCCAAAAUGGAAGUUUGUUCAAAUUGGAGAUUCGAAAAGCUUAUUUUGGAACCAAGAAUUAGGAUGUCAUAUGCCAUGAGAAGUAGGAAAAAAUUUAUAUCAAGGAUAUGGAAAAGUGAAGAAUUGUUGGAAUCAAGGAAUAAGGGAUUUCAAAAGAAAGUUUGUGGAAUUUUAGAGGAAGGAAACACUCGAAUAAAAGGAUUUGCUUAAUUGGUUGGUGAUAAGGAAAAGUUACCUUCUAUUUGGUCUAUAAGUUCGUUAAUGGACAAUCUUUUGGAUAUUUUUAGUUUGGGAUGGUUAUGUAUGUAAGGAAGGAAGGAAGAUAAGUUUGGAUAAGACAAUUGUGGGUAAAAGUAUGAGAACGGUGGAUAAAGGAUUAUUCAAAAUGUUAGAACCGAAAAUGGAAGUUUGUUGAAAUUGGAGAUUCGAAAAGCUUAUUUUGGAACCAAGAAAUAGGAUGUCAUAUGCCAUGAGAAGUAGGAAAGAAUUUAUAUCAAGGAUAUGGAAAAGUUAAGAAUUGUUGGAAUCAAGGAAUAAGGGAUCUCAAAAGAAAGUUUGUGAAAUUUUAGAAGGAAGCACUCGAAUAAAAGAAUUUGCUUAAUUGGUUGGUGAUAAGGAAAAGUUAAAUUGUAUUUGGUCUAUAAGUUCGUUAAUGGUUAUGAUGGUUAUGUAUGCAAGGAAGGAAGAUAAGUUUCGAUAAGAGAAUUGUUGGUAAAAGUAUGAGAAUGGUGGAUAAAGGACUAUUCAAAAUGUUAGAACCGAAAAUGGAAGUUUGUUCAAAUUAGAGAUUCCAAAAGCUUAUUUUGGAACCUAGAAAUAGGAUGUCAUAUGCCAUGAGAAGUAGGAAAGAAUUUAUAUCAAGGAUAUGGAAAAGUGAAGAGUUGUUGGAAUCAAAGAAUAAGGGAUCUCUGAAGAAAGAUUGUGGAAUUUUAGAGGAAGGAAGCACUCGAAUAAAAGGAUUUGCUUAAUUGGUUGGUGAUAUGGGAAAGUUAAAUUCGAUUUGGUCUAUAAGUUUGCUAAUGGACAAUCUUUUGGAUAUUUUUAGUUUGUGAUAGUUAUGUAUGUGAGGAAGGAAGGAAGAUAAGUUUGGAUAAGAUUAUUGUGGGUAAAAGUAUGAGAAUGGUGGAUAUAGGACUACUCAAAAGGUUAAGAACCGAAAAUGAAAGUUUGUUCAAAUUGGAAAUUCGAAAAGCUUAUUUUGGAACCUAAAAAUAGGAUGUCAUAUGCCAUGAGAAGUAGGAAAGAAUUUAUAUCAAGGAUAAGGAAAAGUGAAGAAUUGUUGGAAUCAAGAAAUAAGGGAUCUCAAAAGAAAAUUUGUGGAAUUUUAAUGGAAGGAAGCACUCGAAUAAAAGGAUUUGCUUAAUUGAUUGGUGAUAAGGAAAAGUUAAAUUCUAUUUGGUCUAUAGGUUCGUUAAUGCACAAUCUUUUGGAUAUUUUUAGUUUGUAAUGGUUAUGUAUGCAAGGAAGCAAGGAAGAUAAGUUUGGAUAAGAGAAUUGUGCGUAAAAGUAUGAGAAUGGUGGAUAUAGGACUAUUCAAAAGGUUAAGAACCGAAAAUGGAAGUUUGUUCAAAUUGGAGAUUCGAAAAGCUUAUUUUGGAACCAAGAAAUAGGAAAUCAUAUGCCAUGAGAAGUAGGAAAGAAUCAAUAUCAAGAAUAUGGAAAAGUGAAGAAUUGUUGAAAUCAAGGAAUAAGGGAUUUCAAAAGAAAGUUUGUGGAAUUUUAGAGGAAGGAAUACUCGAAUAAAAGGAUUUGCUUAAUUGGUUGGUGAUAAGGAAAAGUUAAAUUCUAUUUGGUCUAUAAGUUCAAUAAUGCACAAUCUUUUGUAUAUUUUUAGUUUGUAAUUGUUAUGUAUGCAAGGAAGCAAGGAAGAUAAGUUUGGAUAAGAGAAUUGUGCGUAAAAGUAUGAGAAUGGUGGAUAUAGGACUAUUCAAUAGGUUAAGAACUGAAAAUGGAAGUUUGUUCAAAUUGGAGAUUCGAAAAGCUUAUUUUGGAAACAAGAAAUAGGAUGUCAUAUGCCAUGAGAAGUAGGAAAGAAUUUAUAUCAAGGAUAUGGAAAAGUUAAGAAUUGUUGGAAUCAAGGAAUAAGGGAUCUCAAAAGAAAGUUUGUGAAAUUUUAGAAGGAAGCACUCGAAUAAAAGAAUUUGCUUAAUUGGUUGGUGAUAAGGAAAAGUUAAAUUGUAUUUGGUCUAUAAGUUCGUUAAUGAACAAUCUUUUGGAUAUUUUUAGUUUGUGAUGGUUAUGUAUGCAAGGAAGGAAGGAAGAUAAGUUUGGAUAAGAGAAUUGUGCGUAAAAGUAUGAGAAUGGUGGAUAUAGGACUAUUCAAAAGGUUAAGAACCGAAAAUGGAAGAUUGUUGAAAUUGGAGAUUCGAAAAGCUUAUUUUGGAACAAAGAAAUAGGAUGUCAUAUGCCAUGAGAAGUAGGAAAGAAUUUAUAUCAAGGAAAUGGAAAAGUGAAGAAUUGUUGGAAUCAAGGAAUAAGGGAUCUCAAAAGAAAGUUUGUGGAAUUUUAGAGGAAGGAAGC